rnacentral:rRNA from 1 species
UACGGAGGGUGCAAGCGUUGUCCGGAAUCACUGGGCGUAAAGGGCGCGUAGGCGGCCUGGUAAGUAGGGGGUGAAAUCCUGCGGCUUAACCGCAGGGCUGCCUUCUAAACUGUCAGGCUUGAGCACGGUAGAGGCAGAUGGAAUUCCCGGUGUAGCGGUGAAAUGCGCAGAUAUCAGGAGGAACACCGGGUGGGCGAAGGCGGGUCUCUGGGCCGUAACUGACGCUGAGGAGCGAAAGCGUGGGGAGCAAACAGG